rnacentral:rRNA from 1 species
GGAUCAAUAUGUUGGUCGUGCCUUGGUACGUACUAAUUUAUUGGUUUCUUCCUUCUGACGAACCUUGAUGUCAUUAAUUUGGUGUCUUGGGGAAUCAGGACUGUUACUUUGAAAAAAUUAGAGUGUUUAAAACAGGCAUUUUGCUUGAAUACAUUAGCAUGGAAUAAUGAAAUAGGACGUUUGAUUCUAUUUUGUUGGUUUCUAGGAUUGACGUA